rnacentral:lncRNA from 10 species
AGUCAGCAGCCAUCAACAUCAAAACAGGACCCUCCACCAGCAAAAAGACUGAAAAUCACUGAAGGCUGAGAUGAUCAUUAACAUUUUUUAGCAAUAAAAUAUUUUUAAUUGUUAUGCACACUUUUUAGAUAUAAUUCAAUGCACACUUAAUAUAGUGUGUAAAGUGUAAACGUAACUUUUAUAUGCACUGAGAAACCAAAAAAUUUGUGACUCACUUUAUUGCAAUAUUCACUUUAUCAAGGUUCUCUGGAACCUCACCUGCAGUGUCUCUGAGGUCCUGUAAGUAGUGUUUUGGUGAAUAAAUACGGCAGCCGGCCGGUGGUGAUAGCAGGAGGCUUAUUAUGCUGUCUUGGAAUGGUGUUGGCCUCCUUUAGUAGCAGCGUGGUACAGCUGUACCUCACUAUGGGAUUCAUUACAGGUUUAGGUUUAGCCUUCAACCUGCAACCCGCCUUAACCAUAAUUGGCAAAUACUUCUAUAGGAAGCGACCCAUGGCAAAUGGAUUGGCCAUGGCAGGAAGUCCUGUUUUCUUAAGUUCAUUGGCUCCUUUCAAUCAGUACCUUUUUAAUACUUUUGGCUGGAAAGGAAGCUUCCUGAUUUUGGGAAGUCUACUUUUGAAUGCCUGUGUGGCUGGUUCCCUCAUGAGACCCCUUGGACCCAAUCAAACCACUUCUAAGUCUAAAAAUAAGACUGGCAAAACAGAAGAUGAUUCAAGCCCAAAGAAAAUCAAAACGAAGAAAUCAACUUGGGAAAAAGUUAAUAAGUAUUUAGAUUUCUCCCUUUUUAAGCAUAGAGGAUU